rnacentral:rRNA from 1 species
CCUACGGGAGGCAGCAGUGGGGAAUAUUGCACAAUGGGCGCAAGCCUGAUGCAGCCAUGCCGCGUGUAUGAAGAAGGCCUUCGGUUGUAAAGUACUUUCAGCGGGGAA